GAUCAUGGCUCAGGAUGAACGCUGGCGGCAUGCCUAAGACAUGCAAGUCGAACGAGGUGGCCCAAAGAAGAUUGAGUGCUUGCACAAGAUUGGACUUGGAUUACCACCUAGUGGCGGACGGGUGAGUAACACGUAGGUGACCUGCCUUUGAGUUUGGGAUAACUAUUAGAAAUGAUAGCUAAUACCGAAUUAAAUUCAGAUUCGUUUCUGUAUUAAAAGGAGCCUUUAAAGCUUCGCUUAAAGA
rnacentral:rRNA from 1 species